GUCACCACCAAGCUAAGCACAUGGAGAAACCACAUGCCAAAUCUGCACUAAAGAUUUCUAGAAGAGCAAGUUUUGUCUUUCAGGACAGACGCCAGCAGUAUCCAUUGCAAGACUCCACGCGACAAGCAUGUGCAGCAGGGAAGCCUAGUUGCAUAUAAAACAUGACAACACUCCGAACAUGGUCUUCUGGUCUAAGUUGUAAUGUGAUGACAGCAAUUUCAUUGCUUGAUCAUUUACUGCUUGCCAGAAGUCACAGAAGACACUGCCACGUUUAUGAUAUCAGGAUGACAUACCCUAUGUAAAGUUGUAUUUCUUCAAUCUGUUUGAGAUACAUCCACAUAGGAGAUCAACUUUAAAUGGCGAGUAGUUUGUGAGCAGACAUGAACAGAAAAAAUUGAGUGCUUGAUGCUUAAUUUCACCUUUUAUGUUUGUUGAGUCAGCCUCACGAUGUACUUCUAUGAUAUUCAGAGCCUGUCCAGCGUCCACCUACUUUUAAAAAUUGAUGUUUUGCCAUUUCUAGAGUUGUUAUAUUUCGUAAGUGUCUUUUCUUGCCUUCAGUCACUCAGCUUACUGAAAGAAGAGAACAAACUAAUCAAAAUAUACUUUAAAUCCACAGGCAAAGGAGGAAGUCAAAGAGCAACUUUCCGUGGACAAAUCGAAGGCUACCCAAAGGCCUGCUGCAAAAGAAAAUACCAAGCCUGUAGAUUUCAAACUCCACACACAACAGAGAGCUAUCAAACGUGCGAUGUUUAAUUACUCGGUUGCAACCAAGCUGUAUCUCAUGGAGCAACAGAAGAAAUAUGAAGAGAAGUUGCAAAAGGUGUAGAAGAGAAUUAAGAUGGUAUCUGACAAGUUCUAGAUUUUCAUG